rnacentral:tRNA from 1 species
GGGAUAUUAGUUAAAUAAGUAUAACAUCUAAAUUGCACUUAGAAAUUGAAGCUUUCAUAUCUUA